CUUUAGUAACGGCGAGUGAGCGGUAAAAGCUCAAAUUUGAAAUCUGGUACUUUCAGUGCCCGAGUUGUAAUUUGUAGAAUUUGUCUUUGAUUAGGUCCUUGUCUAUGUUCCUUGGAACAGGACGUCAUAGAGGGUGAGAAUCCCGUUUGGCGAGGAUACCUUUUCUCUGUAAGACUUUUUCGAAGAGUCGAGUUGUUUGGGAAUGCAGCUCAAAGUGGGUGGUAAAUUCCAUCUAAAGCUAAAUAUUGGCGAGAGACCGAUAGCGAACAAGUACAGUGAUGGAAAGAUGAAAAGAACUUUGAAAAGAGAGUGAAAAAGUACGUGAAAUUGUUGAAAGGGAAGGGCAUUUGAUCAGACAUGGUGUUUUUUGCAUGCACUCGCCUCUCGUGGGCUUGGGCCUCUCAAAAAUUUCACUGGGCCAACAUCAAUUCUGGCAGCAGGAUAAAUCAUUAAGAAUGUAGCUACUUCGGUAGUGUUAUAGCUUUUUGGAAUACUGUUAGCCGGGAUUGAGGACUGCGCUUCGGCAAGGAUGUUGGCAUAAUGGUUAAAUGCCGCCCGUCUUGAACCACGGACCA
rnacentral:rRNA from 1 species